AACGAACGCUGGCGGCAGGCCUAACACAUGCAAGUCGAGCGAGCAUUUCGGUGCUAGCGGCGGACGGGUGAGUAACGCGUGGGAACGUGCCCUUUUCUGCGGAAUAGUCCUGGGAAACUGGGGGUAAUACCGCAUACGCCCUUUUGGGGAAAGAUUUAUCGGAGAAGGAUCGGCCCGCGUUGGAUUAGGUAGUUGGUGGGGUAAUGGCCCACCAAGCCGACGAUGCAUAGCUGGUUUGAGAGGAUGAUCAGCCACACUGGGACUGAGACACGGCCCAGACUCCUACGGGAGGCAGCAGUGGGGAAUCUUAGACAAUGGGGGCAACCCUGAUCUAGCCAUGCCGCGUGAGUGAUGAAGGCCUUAGGGUUGUAAAGCUCUUUCAGCUGGGAAGAUAAUGACGGUACCAGCAGAAGAAGCCCCGGCUAACUCCGUG
rnacentral:rRNA from 1 species